rfam:Salmo salar isolate Sally breed double haploid chromosome ssa02, whole genome shotgun sequence.
GAAACGGCUCUUUUAAGAGCCCCAUAACACAAAGGUUAUUUUAAG